AACGAACGCUGGCGGCAGGCCUAACACAUGCAAGUCGAACGUGAAGCCACCUUCGGGUGGCGGAAAGUGGCAGACGGGUGAGUAACGCGUGGGAACGUGCCUUUCGGUUCGGAAUAACCCAGGGAAACUUGGGCUAAUACCGGAUACGCCCUACGGGGGAAAGAUUCAUUGCCGAAAGAUCGGCCCGCGUCGGAUUAGCUAGUUGGUGGGGUAAUGGCCUACCAAGGCGACGAUCCGUAGCUGGUCUGAGAGGAUGAUCAGCCACACUGGGACUGAGACACGGCCCAGACUCCUACGGGAGGCAGCAGUGGGGAAUAUUGUACAAUGGGCGAAAGCCUGAUGCAGCCAUGCCGCGUGGGUGAAGAAGGCCCUAGGGUUGUAAACCCCUUUCAGCGGGGAAGAUAAUGACGGUACCCGCAGAAGAAGUCCCGGCUAACUCCGUGCCAGCCGCCGCCGUAA
rnacentral:rRNA from 1 species